rnacentral:rRNA from 1 species
UACGGGGGAUGCAAGUGUUAUCCGGAAUCACUGGGCGUAAAGCGUCUGUAGGUGGUUUAGCAAGUCCGUUGUUAAAUAUUGGGGCUCAACCUUAAGCAAGCAAUGGAAACUACUAGACUAGAGUAUGGUAUGGGUAAAGGGAAUUCCCAGUGUAGCGGUGAAAUGCGUAGAUAUUGGGAAGAACACCAGCAGCGAAAGCGCUUUACUAGGCUAUCACUGACACUCAGAGACGAAAGCUAGGGUAGCGAAUGGG